rnacentral:rRNA from 1 species
CCUACGGGUGGCAGCAGUGAGGAAUAUUGGUCAAUGGGCGCGAGCCUGAACCAGCCAAGUAGCGUGAAGGAUGACUGCCCUACGGGUUGUAAACUUCUUUUAUCAGGGAAUAAAGUGAGCCACGUGUGCCGUUUUGUAUGUACCUUAUGAAUAAGGAUCGGCUAACUCCGUGCCAGCAGCCGCGGUAAUACGGAGGAUCCGAGCGUUAUCCGGAUUUAUUGGGUUUAAAGGGAGCGUAGGUGGAUUGUUAAGUCAGUUGUGAAAGUUUGCGGCUCAACCGUAAAAUUGCAGUUGAUACUGGCAGUCUUGAGUACAGUAGAGGUAGGCGGAAUUCGUGGUGUAGCGGUGAAAUGCUUAGAUAUCACGAAGAACUCCGAUUGCGAAGGCAGCUUACUGGACUGCAACUGACACUGAUGCUCGAAAGUGUGGGUAUCAAACAGGAUUAGAUACCCGAGUAGUC